AUACGUAGGGUGCGAGCGUUGUCCGGAAUUACUGGGCGUAAAGGGCGCGUAGGCGGCCCGGUAAGUCUGGAGUGAAAGUCCUGUUUUUAAGAUGGGAAUUGCUUUGGAUACUGUCGGGCUUGAGUGCAGGAGAGGUAAGUGGAAUUCCCAGUGUAGCGGUGAAAUGCGUAGAUAUUAGGAGGAACACCGGUGGCGAAGGCGGCUUGCUGGAAUGUAACUGCCGUUGAGGCUCGAAAGCGUGGGGAGCAAACAGGAUUACAUACCCUGGUAGUCCUCGCCGUAAACGAUGAAUACUAGGUGUCGGGUUUCUAUAGAGAUUCGGUGCCGCAGCAAACGCAAUAAGUAUUCCACCUGGGGAGUACGUUCGCAAGAAUGAAACUCAAAGGAAUUGGCGGGG
rnacentral:rRNA from 1 species